AAAAAGUCAAAUCUGAGUUUCCGUGUCCAACUUUGACUGUCCGUUUUAUAUAAAAUUUUUUUAUAAUUCGUAUUUUCAUUAUUGUUAGAUAAUAAAACAUGAUUAAUAUUUUAUGCGUGACUUGUCUUUUUCAUUUUUUUUUUAAUUUUUUUAAAUAAGACGGAUGGUAAAACGUUGGACACGGAAACCAGGGUUUGUCUUUUU
rnacentral:pre_miRNA from 1 species